rnacentral:rRNA from 1 species
UUAAAUUGAAGAGUUUGAUCAUGGCUCAGAUUGAACGCUGGCGGCAGGCCUAACACAUGCAAGUCGAACGGUAACAGGAAGAAGCUUGCUUCUUUGCUGACGAGUGGCGGACGGGUGAGUAAUGUCUGGGAAACUGCCUGAUGGAGGGGGAUAACUACUGGAAACGGUAGCUAAUACCGCAUAACGUCGCAAGACCAAAGAGGGGGACCUUCGGGCCUCUUGCCAUCGGAUGUGCCCAGAUGGGAUUAGCUUGUUGGUGGGGU